rnacentral:rRNA from 1 species
UACGAAGGGGGCUAGCGUUGCUCGGAAUCACUGGGCGUAAAGGGUGCGUAGGCGGGUCUUUAAGUCAGGGGUGAAAUCCUGGAGCUCAACUCCAGAACUGCCUUUGAUACUGAAAGUCUUGAGUACGGGAGAGGUGAGUGGAACUGCGAGUGUAGAGGUGAAAUUCGUAGAUAUUCGCAAGAACACCAGUGGCGAAGGCGGCUCACUGGCCCGUAACUGACGCUGAGGCACGAAAGCGUGGGGAGCAAACAGG